AGGACGAACGCUGGCGGCGUGCUUAACACAUGCAAGUCGAGCGGAAAGGCCCUUCGGGGUACUCGAGCGGCGAACGGGUGAGUAACACGUGAGCAACCUGCCCUUAGCUCUGGGAUAGCUCCGGGAAACCGGAAUUAAUACCGGAUAUGACCUAGGCCGACAUCGGCCGUGGUGGAAAGUUUUUCGGCUAGGGAUGGACUCGCGGCCUAUCAGCUAGUUGGUGGGGUAAUGGCCUACCAAGGCGACGACGGGUAGCCGGCCUGAGAGGGCGACCGGCCACACUGGGACUGAGACACGGCCCAGACUCCUACGGGAGGCAGCAGUGGGAAUCUUGCGCAAUGGGCGAAAGCCUGACGCAGCGACGCCGCGUGGGGAUGAAGGCCUUCGGGUUGUAACCCCUUUCAGCAGGACGAAGCGAAAGUGACGGUACCUGCAGAAGAAGCGCCGGCUAACUACGUGCCAGCAGCCGC
rnacentral:rRNA from 1 species